CUCCCUACAUCAUUCUCUGUUCUUUCCUCUUCUUCAUCCUCCUCCUCCUCAUCCUCCUCCUCUAUGCUCUCCUCUAGUUUUGAAAGUGGGAAACGGCCAUUACCAGCCCCAAAUCCAAAUUGGACAGGUUCUUCUGUUGACAUCUUAGAGGUAAAGUAAAAUUCUGUUUCUUCAUAGUCUAUAUCAAAUUGAAAUUCCUCAUCUCCCAAAUCAGUUCCGGGGGACAAUGCCUCUCUCUCUGCAAUCAACCUCCUUGCCUCAAUACAUACAACCUCAAGUUCACUGGGUUCC
rnacentral:misc_RNA from 1 species